GACGAACGCUGGCGGCGUGCUUAACACAUGCAAGUCGAACGGAAAGGCACUGCUUUUGUGGGGUGCCCGAGUGGCGAACGGGUGAGUAACACGUGAGUAACCUGCCCUUGACUUUGGGAUAGCUUCAGGAAACUGGGGCUACUACAGGAUAGGAGCUGCUGCUGCAUGGAGGGGGGUGGAUCGUUGCGGCGGUUUGGGAUGGACUCGCGGCUUAUCAGCUUGUUGGUGGGGUAGUGGCUGACCAAGGCUUUGACGGGUAGCCGGCCUGGGAGGGUGAACGGCCACAAUGGGACUGAGAUACGGCCCAGAGUCCUACGGGGGGCAGCGGUGGGGAAUAUUACACAAUGGGCGGAAGCCGGAGGCAGCAACGCCGCGUGCGGGAUGACGGCCUUCGGGUUGUGAACCGCUUUCGCCUGUGACGAAGCGGGAGUGACGGUAAUGAGUAAAGAAGCACCGGCUAACUACGUG
rnacentral:rRNA from 1 species